UAGAGUUUGAUCCUGGCUCAGGAUGAACGCUGGCGGUAUGCCUAACACAUGCAAGUCGAACGGUCCUUCGGGACAGUGGCGGACGGGUGAGUAACGCGUGAGAACCUGCCUUCAGGAUGGGGACAACAGCCGGAAACAGCUGCUAACACCCAAUGUGCCGCAAGGUGAAAAAUUUAUUGCCUGAAGAGGGGCUCGCGUCUGAUUAGCUAGUUGGAGAGAUAAAAGCUCACCAAGGCGACGAUCAGUAGCUGGUCUGAGAGGAUGAGCAGCCACACUGGGACUGAGACACGGCCCAGACUCCUACGGGAGGCAGCAGUGGGGAAUCUUCCGCAAUGGGCGAAAGCCUGACGGAGCAAUACCGCGUGAGGGAAGAAGGUCUAAUAGAUUGUCAACCUCUUUUCUCAGGGAAGAAAAAAAUGACGGUACCUGAGGAAUAAGCAUCGGCUAACUCCGUGCCAGCAGCCGCGGUAAUACGGAGGAUGCAAGCGUUAUCCGGAAUUAUUGGGCGUAAAGCGUCCGCAGGUGGUCAAACAAGUCUGCCGUCAAAAACUAGAGCUUAACUCUGGAGAGGCGGUGGAAACUGUAAGACUAGAGACCGGUAGGGGUAGAGGGAAUUCCCAGUGUAGCGGUGAAAUGCGUAGAGAUUGGGAAGAACACCAGUGGCGAAGGCGCUCUACUGGGCCGGAACUGACACUCAGGGACGAAAGCUAGGGGAGCAAAAGGGAUUAGAUACCCCUGUAGUCCUAGCCGUAAACGAUGGAUACUAGGCGUAGCUUGUAUCGACCCAAGCUGUGCCGUAGCUAACGCGUUAAGUAUCCCGCCUGGGGAGUACGCACGCAAGUGUGAAACUCAAAGGAAUUGACGGGGGCCCGCACAAGCGGUGGAGUAUGUGGUUUAAUUCGAUGCAACGCGAAGAACCUUACCAGGACUUGACAUGGCGCGAAGCCUUCUGAAAGGAAGGUGUGCCUUAGGGAACGCGCACACAGGUGGUGCAUGGCUGUCGUCAGCUCGUGUCGUGAGAUGUUGGGUUAAGUCCCGCAACGAGCGCAACCCUCGUCCUUAGUUGCCAGCAGUAAGAUGGGCACUCUAGGGAGACUGCCGAUGAUAAGUCGGAGGAAGGUGGGGAUGACGUCAAGUCAUCAUGCCCCUUACGUUCUGGGCUACACACGUACUACAAUGGUCGGGACAAAGGGCAGCGAGACCGCAAGGUGGAGCGAAUCCCAGCAAACCCGGCCUCAGUUCAGAUUGCAGGCUGCAACUCGCCUGCAUGAAGGAGGAAUCGCUAGUAAUCGCAGGUCAGCAUACUGCGGUGAAUCCGUUCCCGGGCCUUGUACACACCGCCCGUCACACCAUGGGAGCUGGCCACGCCCGAAGUCGUUACCCUAACCAUUCGUGGAGGGGGACGCCGAAGGCAGGGCUAGUGACUGGGGUGAAGUCGUAACAAGGUAGCCGUACCGGAAGGUGUGGCUGGAUCACCUCCUUUAAUAGGGAGACCCAAUUUGGGUCAGAUGGGGGCAGAGAAAACUUUCAAACGGACCAGUUUAGGGACAAGGGCUAUUAGCUCAGGUGGUUAGAGCGCACCCCUGAUAAGGGUGAGGUCCCUGGUUCAAGUCCAGGAUGGCCCAGGCAAAAUAAAACAGCAAAGUACAGCACCUCUGAACCCCAGAGUCUGCUGGACUAGUUUGUCCAGUACAGAACCUUGAAAACUGCAUCAGACAGAAGAGAAAAAGUAAUAAAAGUCAAGCUACAAAGGGCUAACGGUGGAUACCUAGGCACACAGAGGCGAAGA
rnacentral:rRNA from 1 species